CCCUUAGAUGCUCUGGGCCGCACGCGCGCUACACUGGUCGAUGCAACGAGUUUCUUUCCUUGGCCGACAGGCCUGGGCAAUCUUUGAACAUCGAUCGUGAUCGGGAUAGAUUCUUGUAAUUUUUGAUCUUAAACGAGGAAUUCCUAGUAAACGCAAGUCAUCAGCUUGUAUUGAUUACGUCCCUGCCCUUUGUACACACCGCCCGUCGCACCUACCGAUUGAAUGGUCCGGUGAAAUCUCCGGACUGGCGUGAGUCGGAGCAAUCUGACAAACACCGGAAAGUUGAUUAAACCUUACCAUUUAGAGGAAGGUGAAGUCGUAACA
rnacentral:rRNA from 1 species